UACAGAGGUCUCAAGCGUUGUUCGGAUUCAUUGGGCGUAAAGGGUGCGUAGGCGGCGCGGUAAGUCGGGUGUGAAAUCUCGGGGCUUAACUCCGAAACUGCAUUCGAUACUGCCGUGCUUGAGGACUGGAGAGGAGACUGGAAUUUACGGUGUAGCGGUGAAAUGCGUAGAUAUCGUAAGGAAGACCAGUGGCGAAGGCGGGUCCU
rnacentral:rRNA from 1 species